GCAAGGACCUAUUGGUCUGAAAUUUUGAAGUACAAAAACUAAACGUGUGAAGUUAAAAGGUCAUAGACUGAAAUGUUUUAUGAUCAAAAGCUUAAGGACUAAACAAUAUUUAGUCCUUUUUUUUUUUAGGAGUUACACUGAAGUAGGGUUUUCAAUGGAUCAGCAAACAUUAUCUCCAUCACCAUCUUCAAGGUUGAGACCAGUUAGAAAGAGUAUUGUUCUGGAAGGAGGAGAUUGCGAGGAGCAUUCCAGUGAUCAAAGCAGAGAAGCUGGAGAAGAUUUGAUGUGGGCUAUUGGAUUUGAUUACAUUAAAAAAUUGUAGAAAUUCCAAUCAAUCAAUGAUUUGAUUACA